GAAAGCCUGCACCCACACCGGCCCUGUCUGGAUAAGAUUGAGGACCCCUGGGCUAAAUCAACAGAAAACCUGCGCCCACACGGACCCUUUUUUUGGAUUAAGAUCGGACGCCCUUGCUUGAGCUGGAAAGAAACAGAGGCACGAAUUCAGAUACAUAGCAUCUUCUGUGAAGCGCUCUCAGAUUGACGUCGGUUUCCGCCAUUUAAAGCCCUCGGGGUGCCGCAUGAUCCUGCUUUUCAGGGUGGGGCCCUAAGAGGCCCUAAGAGGCCCUAAGCAAGGCUAGUAAAGAAAAACAAACUGACAGACAACAAAGGGAGCGUUAGGGCAACAUGGCUCAGGAGGUAAGAGCGAUUGUCUGGCAGUCGGAGGGUUGCCGGUUCAAACCCUGCCCUGGGCGUCUCGAAGUGUCCUUGAGCAGGACACCCAAUCCCUACCUGCUCCGGCGAAUGAGAGGCAUCAAUUGUAAAGCGCUUUGGAUAAAAGCGCUAUAUAAAUGCAGUCCAUUUACAAAGCCGCGAGCUGAAUCUGGAACAGCAGCCCCGACGGUGAACUCCAACUGCACUACCGUCUCUGCAAGAAAAGGGAAACGUUUCCUGUGGCCUUCAAAUGGAUCGACGAACUGUUUUAGUUUUAUUUAUUGCCUGGAAACAAAUCUUGCGUACCCUUGGGACUUAAAAUCAAAAUAUGCCCACAUAUUCUAAGAGAGCAUCUACUAUUAUUGAUCCAAUAGCAAAUAAACUAUAAUAAUUCUUAAAAUACGCCUAUUCUUAGCGAGCGUGAUUUCUUUACAUUUUGAUAAUUGUCUUUGUUACAGCCAUCAGACGCAUCAGUAGUUUAAGACAAAUGUUUUCCAGUUCUCAAAGUGAAACAUGUCUUCUAUCUUUUCAGUUUCUCAAAUAUAUUACUUUUUUUUUAAAAACUUCAUUAUCAAUGUGUUUCUUUAAUUUUAUCAGUCCGUAAUAUUUUAAACCAUUAAUUCUUCUGAGAAGAACCAUCUGUUAGCAACAGAUGCACUCCUCUUUUUUUUUGCACAGAUAGCAUGGUGUAAUGUUUUGCUACAUUCAGUACAAAUUCAGCAAGAAACCAUAUUUGUCAUACACAAAAUAACUCUGAAGAGAAGCAACAGCUUGUGAUCCAUCCUUACCAGCAUUUCAUAAUACUAUGCAGCUAUUAGUACAUAAACGUAUGUUUAUAUUUUUCCGCAUUGUGAAUAAAUAGUAUCACAAAAUCCUGUGUCUUCGCCACAUAAACGUGCAUUUUUAUUGUUGCACACUGGUUAAAUGAUUUUAACAUUAUUAAUAUUUUUAUUACAUUCAUUUAAAAUCACUGUUCAAGUUACAAACGUCUAGAUCGGGGUUCUCAAACUAAUAUCCUGGAGGACCACUGUGCCUGCUGGUUUUCGAUGCGCUACGGCACUUAAGUGCUGAACUUAAAUCAGUGAUUGGCUAAAGUCUGCACACCUUGUUUCCAAGGCCUAAAUUGGCUGCUUGAUUGAAAAGAAAUCGCAAAAAGUACCAAAAGAGAUUGCAGCUCCUCCAGGUCUGGCGUUUUAGACCCCUGAUUUAGACGGAUGCCCUCCCAUUUUAACACAUUCAGUGUUCUAUAAUACCUACGAUGUAUUACUUUGAACUUAUCGAAUAUGAUUGAUUGAUCGAUGACGCAAAUCAACAUUUGGCUUCGCUAGAUCAAUAAAAAUGCAGCUGUGAAAUCCUUUAGUGCUUUCCCUGUAAUGACUGUGGUGGAGUGAGGUGUUUGGUUUACAGCCAGAUUGAAUUAGGGACUGCACAUUGAAAUGGCAUUAAGAAAUGGAACAUUUGUGAGUAGACAAACCUUCCCAAAUGGAAAAAAGGGCUUGUGGUGAUCUGUUAUUUUUAAGAUCUUAAGUGUCUCCAUCUUUUGUGAAGAGGAGUAGCUCAUAUCAUUCUGCACAGAAGGCAACGAUAAAUUAAGUAGUUCACUUAUCAGAUGUAAUACUGGAUACAUAAAGUGUGUUAAUUGCUUGCUACAGUUAACUGCAGUAUCUGAGCCUAAUCAGUUGGUUCCCUAACCCAGAAUUGUAAAACCCCAUUGUACUUGGUGAUAUAUAUUUUUUGAGAAUGGAUAGAACCUCAGUUGAUUUCAC